UUUAACUCUAUGAAUCUUAUUUAAAACCCUCUGAUAUCAGCCCCAGCCCUUUAGCUAAACCUACAUAUAAUACACCAUUGAUUCCCAUAUGGCUAGUCCUCCUCAACUAUCAUCUUCCAUGGCCCCUUAUGGUCCUCAACAAGACGAUCAACUUCUUUUCUCUCGUGAUAAAAACUUCGCUUUGCAUGGGGAGAUUAUGAUGUUUAUUUUUCUCCUAGUUUUUGCUGCCUUUAUUUCCUUUCUGCUCUUCUUCCUCUACAUAAAAGGCUUCCGCAGUAACGCUAGUCUGCAAGAAUAUUCAACCGAGCAAGUGUAGCCCUAUAAAUUCUCCGGUGUCCAUCGGGCCAAGGCCCAGUUCGUAAGGGGUUCAAAGGUGUUGAUGAAUCGACCUGUGUAGCCAGCCAAUGGUACGGUAUCAAAGUUAUGAAUAUGUGUAUUUUGGAGUUUGGGUUCCUCUCCUCCCCUGUCAGUUCUCUCUUUCUCGACUUCACGGAGGAGGGCCGGCCACCAGGGAUUCAUUGCGACAUAUCCUGCAGGUAAGGAUAAAAUCCCCAUGAGGUGGCAGCUACGGUCUGGUGGAUAGUAAUUGUUGGAUGUAGAAAUUAAUUAAAUCUAGCCAGCUGGAGGGAAUAGAGGUCGAUAUUCUAUGCAUUUAACAUAUGCCAUUUUAAUAUAGUUUACAAGUCUAAUUAGUUUAGAAUUUAAUUUAUAAAUCAAAACUCAACUUGAGAUUAAUUUGACUUCAUUGGCUUGAUUUGCAAUAUCAAAAUAGUUCUCUUAACAAGUAGCUCAUAU
rnacentral:lncRNA from 1 species